GAUGAACGCUGGCGGCGUGCCUAAUACAUGCGAGUCGAGCGAACGGACGAGAAGCUUGCUUUUCUGAUGUUAGCGGCGGACGGGUGAGUAACACGUGGAUAACCUACCUAUAAGACUGAGAUAACUUCGGGAAACCGGAGCUAAUACCGGAUAAUAUUUUGAACCGCAUGGUUCAAAAGUGAAAGACGGUCUUGCUGUCACUUAUAGAUGGAUCCGCGCUGCAUUAGCUAGUUGGUAAGGUAACGGCUUACCAAGGCAACGAUGCAUAGCCGACCUGAGAGGGUGAUCAGCCACACUGGAACUGAGACACGGUCCAGACUCCUACGGGAGGCAGCAGUAGGGAAUCUUCCGCAAUGGGCGAAAGCCUGACGGAGCAACGCCGCGUGAGUGAUGAAGGUCUUCGGAUCGUAAAACUCUGUUAUUAGGGAAGAACAUAUGUGUAAGUAACUGUGCACAUCUUGACGGUACCUAAUCAGAAAGCCACGGCUAACUACGUG
rnacentral:rRNA from 1 species